CCUACGGGAGACAGCAGUAGGGAAUCUUCCACAAUGGGCGAAAGCCUGAUGGAGCAACGCCGCGUGGGUGAAGAAGGUCUUCGGAUCGUAAAACCCUGUUGUUAGAGAAGAAAGUGCGUGAGAGUAACUGUUCACGUUUCGACGGUAUCUAACCAGAAAGCCACGGCUAACUACGUGCCAGCAGCCGCGGUAAUACGUAGGUGGCAAGCGUUAUCCGGAUUUAUGGGGCGUAAAGGGAACGCAGGCGGUCUUUUAAGUCUGAUGUGAAAGCCUUCGGCUUAACCGGAGUAGUGCAUUGGAAACUGGGAGACUUGAGUGCAGAAGAGGAGAGUGGAACUCCAUGUGUAGCGGUGAAAUGCGUAGAUAUAUGGAAGAACACCAGUGGCGAAAGCGGCUCUCUGGUCUGUAACUGACGCUGAGGUUCGAAAGCGUGGGUAGCAAACAGGAUUAGAUACCCGUGUAGUC
rnacentral:rRNA from 1 species